GAUGAAGAACGUAGCGAAAUGCGAUAAGUAGUGUGAAUUGCAGAAUUCAGUGAAUCAUCGAAUCUUUGAACGCACCUUGCGCCUUUUGGUAUUCCGAAAGGCACACCUGUUUGAGCGUCAUGAAUACCUCAAUCUCCAUCUUUUCUUCGGAUUGAUGGGUGACUUGGAUGUUGGGCCCUGCUGGUAUGCUAUAUCAGCUGGCUUUAAACUUAUUAGCCGGCUCUGUACUGGAUCGGUUUGACUCGACGUGAUAAUAUUAUCGUUGAGGAUGCAUGUCUCAUGCAGCCGGAAAGUAUCAAAGCAGCUUCUAGCUUGCCUUUAGUGCACUUUUACAUUUUAGACCUCAGAUCAGGUGGGACUACCCGCUGAACUUAAGCAUAUCAAUAAGCGGAGGA
rnacentral:misc_RNA from 1 species